AACAGAAUAAGGGUAUAAUUGUCAGACAACAAUCUUGAUCUUCCGUCUAUCACUCUCUGCUCCAAUUCUGUCGCCCAUGGAUAUGGAAAGAUCUCUUUUUCAUAUUCUCGAAAAUAUCUCUCUUUCUCUCUUAACAACUAAGGUCUGCGAAAAUAUAACCCAUUUACACUCUUCCAUUCACAGCGCAUAGUGAAGGCGAUGAAUCUAGGAUUUUUGAGAGACGUAAUGGCGAAGACGAAGGGUGGUGUUGGAGGUUCGUAACAGUGGUUUCCUUUUGUUUACAAUGGUUUAAGAUUCGUAAGAGGUGUUUUUUUUAUUACUGUGGAACUCAUCUGCAAUCUCUCUAUAAAUCUCUUAAGUUUCUUCGAUUGCUUUGAAGAAUCGGUUGCUUAUGUGUAGAAUUAGUGAGAUUUUUGAAAAUUUCCCUUUCCUUUAAACGAUUGUGGGGUUUUUUACGUGUGUGGUCCAAAAUUGAAUUUUUUUAGAUUUGGGGUAUAGUUUUCUAUUGAUUCCAGUAAUCGAUUUUCUCCAUUUUGGGUGCGAAUGUGGGAUUAUGUGCGUGGGUAUAGUGGAACCCAUCUGCACUCUUUCUCUCACUUUUAAAUUUCUUGGAUUGUUGUGAAAAAUUGAUUCCCUAUGUUACGAUUUUUUUUAAUUUACCAAUUUUUUGAAUUUUUAUGAUUUUUUGCUGGCAUUAGUAUAUUGUGUAUGAAUUUGUUACGAAUUUUUAUGAAUUUGUUAUGAAUUUUUUGCUGGCAUUAGUAUAUUGUGUAUGAAAUAUGAGCAUGUAUCGAAUUUAUUGCGAAUUUUUUUGGCUAUGUCGUUUGGUAUUUAUUACGAAUUUUUACGAAUUUGUUACUUAUUUUUAUGGCCUUAGUAUCGAAAAUUAAUGCAAUGGGUCUGAUUUAGUUUCAAUUUUAUGGUUUGGAAAAUCUAUUUGCUUCUAAGUAUAGAUGUAUUGAUGUAUAAAUCUAUUUUGCUUCUAAGUAUAGAUGUAUUUGGUUAAUAGCAAUUAUUCAUGUUAGAAUAUUUAAGAAAACUUGGGGCUGACAAAUUAAUUGGGCUAGCUUUGUAUUCAAUUGGGUGUGUGCACCAGUGGACUUGUAGUUUGAUGUAUUCCAGCUAAGCAUUUGUGUGCACACACAUAUGAUUUUUUAUACCCUUUCUGUACAAAAUGUUGUCCUUACUCACAAAUUUGGAUAUAAAUAUCUUGUGAAAAUCCUUUGUGACAUUGGGGUUUGACGACCAUCUGUUAGGGAUAUGAAUGACAUCCAGCACUUUUCAGAUAUUUGUUGGAACUUUUGCAUACAUUGUUAUGAUGUUGCAUAAUUGAUAUUUGAUUCGUACUUAAUUCUGUUACGAAUUUGUUAGUUAAUGGUGGUUGAUUGUGUGUAGGUUAAUGCGUAUUAAAGAUGAUUAGAUGG
rnacentral:lncRNA from 1 species